GCUCCAAUAGCGUAUAUUAAAGUUGUUGCAGUUAAAAAGCCGUAGUUGAACUUCGGAUUUGGCUGAGUGGUUUUGCCAAUGGUAAAUACUGCUCUGGUCGAAUCUUUCUUUCUGGGGAACCAACGUGCUCUUAAUUGAGUGCGCUGGGGAUCCAGGACUUUUUACUUUGAAAAAAUUAGAGUGUUUAAGCAGGCCUACGC
rnacentral:rRNA from 1 species